ACCAUAUUUUCUAACCAGCUUUCUUUGCAGUUUGGUGGGGCUUUGUGUCUGAAUUCUGGCCAAUGGAACCACGUGGAGGCCUGGCCCAGAACAUCUCCCUGUGGAUUCUCUCAUCUGGCAACUGGAUGCCUACACGAAGGGUGAUUUUGGAGUCAUGUGUUGGAGAUCACAAAGCUUUUGUCAGCCAGGUUCCUGAAUGACUGCUAGACACCAUGGGCUGAACUUUAUGAGCUCCAGCACCACCUCCAGCCUUCAGUGACUGUCUGGAGCAGGCAUCCGGAUGGAAGAGAAGGGGGACAACCAUGAACUUGGUGACCCACGGUCAGCCUGAUUUCCCUUGUGGACACAUUUAUGCCCAGUGUGCAUUCCUCCUGAGGUCUGUUCCAAGUCUGGAGGCAGCAGAGUAGAGUGGAGAGAACAGUGGACUUGGAAUCUCACCUCCCAGAUUAGAGUCCUGGAUCUGACUUUGAUUGCUGGUGCUGCCUCGGGCAAGUUACUUUAGCUGUGUGCAUCUCCAUUUCCCCAUGGAUAGAACAUGGGUUUUGGGUAGAAGUGUCUGAUAGCUGUACUGUGCUUUACGGUUCAUGAGCACGCACACAUAGGCCCAUAAUAUCAUAUCUCUGGUCACCCUGGCAGGUAGAUAUUAUUGCCCCAGGUUUCAGGUAAGAAGACUAAAGACCAGGGGUCAAUUGCUUGCUCAGAGUCCCACAGCCAGCAGCAGCCAGGCAGGACACCAAGUCAGAGUCUAGAUUCCGGAUCUUGCCCUCUUCCAAGUGUACCACAUUCUUCUCAAAGUGGCCUCUCAGGUCUUUUGUCCAGAAAAUUUUGAGACUUUGAUGAGAAGCCCAUAUCUGCACACUGGGGAUUAGGCCAGAUAACCCUGUGUGUCCUUCCAGGCCUGGUAUUGUGAGGCUGAAGCCUAGUGCCCCACACUCCCUUCCUCACCCCUUAGAGAAAGAUAGAGACUCCAGGGCCAGCCUGGUGGGUGCUGAACCUGCCCUGCUGAGCCAAGCCCAGGAGGCAGCCAAGGUCCUACCAGUGACCUUACCCUGGGGGCCCCUCCAGGUAGGAGCCUGGUUGGAAAAGACAGACCGACUUCUUCUGGGUUGGCUGGAAAAAGAUGACAUACUCAAAGCCUUGUCCUUCCACUUGGAUGCACCUGGUGAAGAUGCGACAGUCACCUUUGUCUGGGGAGAGAUAGGCAGUGUUGCAGCCGGAGAAGGGAGGGUAUGGUCAGGAUGCAGCACCAUUUGGUUGAGUCUUGCCUCUGGUACAAGAUUAAGGAGAGAAAACCAGAGGACACCAGGUCCACCCCCAGGGAGCCUUCCCUCUGGGAGCAGAGGCACAGUUGCUGUCCUCACAGAGCCUUUCUGUCUAGGGCAGAAACAUGCAGGAAGUGCCCUGGCUGAGAAUGGAGAUAGGAUCAGGGCCAGGGCAAGACUUUAAGAGACCAUAAGCAUUGAAAAUUGAAAAUGUAAUUACUCAUGUAACUCACAUAUAAUUCAAAAGAAUAAUAGUAAACAGUAAAAUAAGAGCAGAAAAGUCCAUCAAAGUUCUGAUUUUUUUUUUCCAAGACAGCUACCACUACUACAUCCUUUUUUGGAAGUAUCAAAUUCUUUGAAAAAAAAUUAUGUUGGUAUUCCUGCUUUGUUUGUGCCAUAAACCCAAGGGUAGUCUGUCCCCUGUACCACUCCUUCAUCACUAGGCAGGAAGACAACAUAUAUGAGUGAGAGAGACAGGGAGAUACACAUGCGUGCACACACGAGUGCACACACACACACAAGAAGGUGGAAGCUCUAUCAUUAGGAUCCAUUAGGAUCAUUAGGUGUUUCAGGAGUGCUGCUCCAGACCCCGCACAGCAGGGAUGAUGUGCAGGGCCUCAGUGGAAGGGGUGUGGGGUCCAAGGGCUUUCAUGGGGUUGGGGCGGAAGGCUUGGGAUGAGGCUUGAUAGUUAGGGAGGGGCAGUCAGUGAGAAGUCGGGGCAGGAGCUGGGCUGGCUGUCCUCCAGUGGGGACAUGCUUGGCUGGGAGCGAAGGUGGGCCCACCAGGGUGUGCUGCUUCAGAUGGGAGGAGGGGAGCUGGAGACCUGAGAGGACACCCGCCGCCUGUUGCCUGGGGCUGCAGCAUCAGGGGUGGAGUUGGACAGCAGGAAGAACUCGCUGAGAACUGGAAGGCGGUCUGUGAAGUUGCUUCUCAGUCUUAGAACACAGGGAAGGGCGGCUGGGGUGUGUGUACUCAUGGUCCUGUCCUUACCUGAGGAAACUGCCAGUCCAGAUGGGAGCUUGAGUCCCCGGAUGUGGUCUCUGUUGGACUUGAAGGAGGGCAGCUUGAUCCAGCCGCUAGACUUAGUCUUCUCCAGAAAUUCUUGGUACAGGCUCAGCAUGUCCGAACACCAGCUGGCAUUGGGAAGAGCAUAAUCCUUCAAGUCUGUCUUCUCUGGCAAGAAUCUUGAGAACUGGGCAGGAAAAAUCAGAAUGACUAGACAGCAUCCUGGAGGGGGGCUGCUGCCUGGGCUCGGGACCUCUAAACAGCUGUUCCUGGGUGCUGGGGCUUCUCAAUCCCUUCUGCCAGAGUAUCGAUCCAAGGGAAAGGGCCCAUAUUCCUUGCAGGGGGGCUGCGGACCCCUAUGGGUGACGGGGCAUAAGGAUGCUAAAGAGCAAGGGAAGGGCGGGCAGGGAGUGGGGCCAGAGAUGAUGGGCAUGCUGCUCGAUGUGGUGCCUUACCCUUGUUCUGCUUAAAACAUGUGAGCAGUUCUUUAAAGUUGACAACUGCUCAUAUUAGCCUCACUGUACAGAUGGGGAAACUGAGGGAAUACGGCCAAGGUUGCCAAGCAUGUGACUGUGAGAGCUGGUGGUCGCACUAGAUGCUGUCUCCUCUGCAGGGCAGGGUCACAGUUGUUGAGGACCAUUCUAGCAACCCCCACCUCAGGGGCUACUCCAGCUCUGCCCACUGCUGUGGGCCUGCCUGGGCAGGGUGGCUCCUUUGAAACACAUUUGGGCCCCCACAGAGGUGUGGUGCCAUGGCUGGGGCACAGACUAUGUGCCCAUCUGUGUGACGUAAGGAAGUCCUCUGUAGCGUCACCUGCUCAUACACCAGUCACAACUGUAGACAGCAUGUGAGCUGCUUGCCAAUGCCACAGAUGGGGUCCUCUGUCUGGGGAUACCCCAGCUUUGCUGCAGUAGUCUGAGUCCCACAGGAGGAAAGUCAUUUGUUGGUGGCCACACAAGACACAGAGCCAGAUGCAGGUCUCCUGGUAGUUUUAGUUUUGAAUGGGGGCAACUUGGUAUCCCAGAGCACUUUCUCUUUGCCAAAUCAAAUAGCUCCUCCGAACACUGCCCACCUGCCCUGGCCAUGGGCUGGGAAGAGGAGAUUUGGGGUGCUCCUUAAGCCCUAGGCUCCUGGGAAAACACUGCCCAUCUGGCUGAGCUGGGAACUCACCAUGGAGUCUGUGGAGGAUCCAAAUGCUGAGGCAGGGUUGAGUCUGGGCAGGAUACGGGGGGCCUCAAGAAGGCCUCUGUGGUGGCCAAGUCUUGCUGCCACCUGGAAGCAUCUCCUUAUCAUGGCCAAGUGCAAGGAUCCAGCCCUGCUUGGAUGGAGGGUCUUGGCUGACUCCCAAGGAGUGCUUUCAGCUGCACUUGGGGCCGCUUCUCUCCCUU
rnacentral:lncRNA from 1 species